AUUGAACGCUGGCGGCAUGCCUUACACAUGCAAGUCGAACGGUAACAGGUUAAGCUGACGAGUGGCGAACGGGUGAGUAAUGUAUCGGAACGUGCCCAGUCGUGGGGGAUAACUGCUCGAAAGAGCAGCUAAUACCGCAUACGACCUGAGGGGGAAAGCGGGGGAUCGCAAGACCUCGCUCGAUUGGAGCGGCCGAUAUCAGAUUAGGUAGUUGGUGAGGUAAAGGCUCACCAAGCCGACGAUCUGUAGCUGGUCUGAGAGGACGACCAGCCACACUGGGACUGAGACACGGCCCAGACUCCUACGGGAGGCAGCAGUGGGGAAUUUUGGACAAUGGGCGCAAGCCUGAUCCAGCCAUGCCGCGUGCGGGAAGAAGGCCUUCGGGUUGUAAACCGCUUUUGUCAGGGAAGAAAAGGUUCUGGCUAAUACCUGGGACUCAUGACGGUACCUGAAGAAUAAGCACCGGCUAACUACGUG
rnacentral:rRNA from 1 species